rnacentral:tRNA from 1 species
CGGGCUAUGGCGCAGCUUGGUUAGCGCGCUUGCAUGGGGCGCAAGAGGUCGUCAGUUCAAAUCUGGCUAGCCCGA